ACGUAAAGCCAGAUCCUUGCCUGUGGCAGACUUAAUUAAAGUAACAGCUGGAUAUUCAGUCUUCACAUAAAAAGAGAAAAAUGUCCUGCAAAGUACUGUGCAGAAUUAAUAUCUACAAAAAAAGGUGGACAAGGUACUGUAGGAGAACCAACCAAAAUUUUGACAUUUGGCUGUUAUCUGAGUGAAAGACUGCUUGUGGAGAAUAUGGAACUUGUACACAGGUGUUCCUGUGCUGAUCUUCCCCAAAGGCCAGGAUACUUAUCUGCCAAAUAAGAUUAAUUUCAAGUUUCUCAGUAUGAUCAGUCUUGACUCAAGGGAACACCAGUGACAUACUGAAUAUCCUUUUGGCUUGUUACUAACUCUUAUCAGAUCAUUUUAAACACCCCAAAAAAGUUCUUUUAAAAAUGCUUAUUCUAUCACUGGUAUAAUACUUCAGAACUAGUUAAGAACCGAGUAUCUCUCAGCAAUAAUGUUUACCAUAUGUUGGUGGUAUAUAUACAGAUUCUACAAGUGAAUAUGCUUAAGGAAAAUUCCAAACCUUCAGUAUUGAGAAAUCAGUGAAUGAAAGUGAACUGAAAUCUGUUUUCAUAAGCUGUUGUAAUUAUUUUCAACUUCAUGAAGGCUUUCUAACCUGUAAUUAAGCAUGAGGAAUGAGCUAAAAUCUGUUCUCAAACUUACAAGCUGAACUUCCCUUUAUGUCACUUAAAGUCUAGCUGAACUGCCACAGCCCUUGACAUUUCAAAUGCAUUGAAUAUUUUAUUGUUCCAUUCCUAUGGAUAUGCUUUGUUUAGACAUAAUCCAAAGCAGCAGAUCCAGAAAUAGAAGAGUUUUGGUUUAUUUUAAAGU
ensembl:lncRNA